CAGCAGCCGCGGGAACACGUAGGUGGCAAGCGUUGUCCGGAAUUAUUGGGCGUAAAGCGCGCGCAGGCGGCCUAUCCAGUCUGUCUUAAAAGUUCGGGGCUCAACCCCGUGAUGGGAUGGAAACUAGUAGGCUAGAGUAUCGGAGAGGAAAGCGGAAUUCCUAGUGUAGCGGUGAAAUGCGUAGAUAUUGGGAAGAACACCAGUGGUGAAGGCGGCUUUCUGGACGAAAACUGACGCUGAGGCGCGAAAGCUAGGGGAGCGAACGGGAUUAGAUACCCCUGUAGUCCCUGUCUCUUAUACA
rnacentral:rRNA from 1 species